rnacentral:misc_RNA from 1 species
GGGAACUGGAGGCCGCUUUCUGAAUACUAAAAAGCUCAAUGACAUGGACUGUACACCAACGGAGACUCAAAAAUAUGGGGCAACCAUUGCAACUCACUCUGGCAACUCUUCUGGUUCCGGGAGUUCUGAUCAAGGGGGAAAGGAAGGAUCUACAGUUCAAGACAUGCACAAAGGACACAGCCAGAGUUUCACAACUGGCAAUGGCCAUGGUUCAUCUGUGUAUUUUUCCGCGAGCAGUGGAAGUGAGCAAGGGAAUGGCCAUUACGGUCAUGGAAGUUGGAGCCUGCUGGUCAAUCAGGCUUCUCAGGGGGCAGCUUCCAGCAAUUAAGAAGCUACUCUCCAAUGGUGGAGGGGUCAGCCCAGCAUGGUUCCGUCUCUUGCGUCGUUCAUGCAGGCAAUGCUGAACAUACAUGCAAGGUGGCAUGGGGCUAUGCUCAGGCAAUUCAUUCUUGGCUUGGUUACUUGUACUAUAUGAGCGGCGAUGAGGAAGAAAAUAGCAUAUGGCGAGUAUGAUACCUUACAAAUUCGCCAUUUAUUCGUAUUUCCUCUCACCCUGUAUGUAAAUAAGGAAAAAUAUAUGUUGGAAUGUAGGACUAGAAGCAGUUUGGAAUCUGAUACUUCAUAGUACUGCAUCAUCUUGAUUGUG